GGAUUGUUAGUUUAGUUGUGUCGAGGGCUUGAGGCUAUUAUGUCACAACGGGUAACCCGUCCGACGAGACUUGUCCACUAUGCGGUCUUUUGGCCACUAUAGGUUGCAAGGUAUGACUAAUCUAGUGUUAGACGACAUUUUACAAAAAUGUUGAGCUACAAUGCAUAAUGGUGUCCGAAGCUUUUAAAUUUUUGGCUUAUUAAUUAUUUUUUAUUUUUUAUGCAUGUGCAAAAACAAUUCCGCGUUCCUGCAUAAGGUUACAGAAAGAUUGAGUGUGGAUUUUCUGCUUGUUCAACCAGGUAAGUGUACACAUCUAGCCGUCCGAUUCAGCUUUGAGAUGCGUGCCGUCGUUACAACAUUUUCACAGGGAAAAGACUAGAGUAUAAAUUAAUCUGUCUUGUACUCAUCUACUGGCCCUACUGACUAGCUUGUGCGCUGGCUACACGAGGUUGGACAUCAUUAACUAUACAAAGACCUCAUAGAUAUAUUGUUGUUGAUAAGCUUCUAGACUUAUUGAAAUAAGUUUGGUUCGUUUCCU
rnacentral:lncRNA from 1 species